CCUGGGAGUGAGUUUGCUCGUCUGGAGGUACUAAUAUUCAUGCACCAUUUGGUUACCAAUUUUAAGUGGGAGAAGGUGUUUCCCAAUGAAAAGAUUAUUUAUACUCCAUUUCCCUUCCCGGAGAAUGGUCUUCCUAUUCGUCUAUCACCUUGUACGCUUUAAAUUUUCUGCUUUUGUUAAGGUGAACAUUUUCUACUAUGUAUUAAUGGUCUUCCUAUUCGUCUAUCACCUUGUACACUUUAAUUUUUCUUCUUUUGUUAUGGUGAACAUUUUCUAAUAUGUAUUAAUUAGAUGUGUCCCAUGCCUCCGAUACUGUAUUGUAUCAACGGUGUGAUUUAUCCCAAACUUUGGACGGUCCAAAUAAUUUAUUGAGUGAAUGAAAAAUUCAAAAUAAUUUAUAUUUUAUUAGCUAAA
rnacentral:lncRNA from 1 species